AAGCCACGCCGAGAGGCUCGUGUCAGUGGAAGCCGGGGUGUCGGCGGGCGGCCGCGGGAGGGCCUAGCGACGCCUGCGGAAGAAGGAGAAGGCUGGGGGAUGGAGCUCCUGGCUCGGGACCCUACCGCUGCGAGCACGCGGUAAACAGCCGUUCUGGGUGUGAGCCAAUCCCGGCGUUUUCCAGUUUGGGGGCUGCGACUUGAGUUUCUCCGCUAGAGCCGGUGGUGCUUGUGUGGGGACUCCGGAUUCCUGCGUUAAUGCCUCUUUACUUUCCUCUCCUGUUGCUGGAAGCUUCGCAGGCCUGUGGCUUUGGAGGAAAAGGAUGAGGCAAUGAGGAAAUGAUUCCUUUCCUAACUAGUUCUGUGUAAUGACUUAUGGAGUCAGCCCAGCAGUAAGUCAGUCACCCAGGAAAUCUCUCCACCCUCUGCCAAUGCUUCUGCCCUGUUGGAGUUGCUUAGGGAAUGGAGAAGCCAUGCAGACCUCCUUAGAGCAGAGCAUGUUCUGGUGUGCCACCCCAGAGCGUCCAUUAUGAAGACUGAGUUCAAACAUGAAGAGUGUGCAGAAAAUAAGGUAUACAUUUCCAUCAUUCCUUAUCCCAAGAAAGUGAAUAUAUAAAGUUUGACAAAAUGUCCUAGUGCUUUUGCCGUCCUAGCACUACAGUGGGCUCGGGUUUUCCCAGUUUCAUAAUGAUUCCAAUUCUAACUUCCUCAGACAUAUCAUUUAUUUUUCUCUCAUUUAAAAAAAAUGUAUGGUAGUGAAUAAAAAGUUUGUUGAGGCAAAUAUUUAAAGUUAUUUAGGCAUUUUACUGCAUGUCCUGAAAUCACUGAAUACAGUGAUGAUAUAGUUCCAAAUUAAAUCAUCCAGAAGGCUUCUAAAAGUUUGGCUAAGACCCUGUACUUUCUGUGUGGUGUGACUGGCAUCCUCUCUACCAUUGUGUAACUCUUUCACAUUGAACCAUUUUUCUUGAACACUGAGGAAUACUUUUUUUGUUUUCUUUUUUGGCCACAUAUGUGACAUAUGGAAGUUCCCAGGCCAGGGAUUGAAUCUGAGCUGCAGCUGUAACCUAUGCCACAGUUGCAGCAAUGUCAGUCCUCAGUGCCUGUAUUAGGCUGGGGAUUGAACUGGUGCUUCCAUGGAGAUAAGCUGGAUCAUUAACCCACUGUGCCGCAGCAGGAACUCCUAUUAUUUUUGGAGUCCCUCAAAUCAACAAAACCACAUCAAUUUACAAGUCUUAAACUCAGUAUUUAAGUAAUUCAUCAAAACACAUUUUUGUGACCUAGUUGAAGCUUUAUUGGUAAUGAUUUAGUGUUUAGAUUUCUAAGUUUUCUAAAACGUCUCAUUAUGGUAGUUAUAUAUGGUUUUGCAACCAGCAGAACCAUUAUUAAGAUUGCAAUGAUAUACACUACUUAACAGUCUUUUAAAAACCCUCUAGUUAGUGUGUAAAAUGCUCUACUUAACUAUACAUUAGAUAGUACUGCCUUUUUUUGGCUGACUUGCAUAUGGAGUUCCUGGGCCAGGGGUCAGAUCUGAGCCACAGUUGCAGCCUGUGCCACAGCUUAGGCUGAUCACAACACCAGAUCCUUAACCUACUGAACGAAACCAGGGAAGGAACCCACAUCCUCAUGGAUACUAUUUGGGUUCUUAAUCUGCUGAGCCACAAUGGGAACUCCUCUAGUACUGCCUUUUGUGUGUGUGUGUGUGUGUGUGUGUGUGUGUGUGUGUGUGUUUGCUUUUUUAGAACUGCACUCACGGCAUAUGGAAGUUCCCAGGCUAGAGGUUAGUCACAUCAUGGAGCUGUAGCUGCUGGCCUAUGGCACAGCCAUAGAAACACAGGAUCUGAGCUGCAUCUGUGACCCACACCACAGCUCACGGCAACGCCGGAUCCAUAACCCAUGAGCCAGGCCAGGGGUCAAACCCGCAUCCUCAUGGAUGCUAGUCAGUCAUUAACCACUAAGCCAUGACGGGAACUCCUCUAGUACUGACUUCUGAUGGCACUUUUUCAAUGUUUUGUUAUGAUAAAUUUUAUGAUAAAAUUUACUUCAGGAGUUUUAUUAUUUCAGGUAGUUUGUUAUUUAUAACAAUCUAUAAUGUUCUUCUUUUUCUGAAGUUAUAGAGUCAGAUUGGCUCUUGGCUUUUAACAGCUCUCUGGGGAUUUGUUUUUCAAGUUUGCCAAGAAAAUAGCAUUCAUCUACUUUUUAGGUCCAAAAUGUUGUUGGUGUGUCCUUAACUGUUUUUCCCUGACCUUGUGAGUUAAGUUUUCAAAUAAUCCCUUAAUUUUGGUUGUACUGGGUUUUGGAAGGGAACAAAAAAAAAUUUUUUUUUUUUUGGUCUUUUUGUCUUUUUAGGGCUGUACCCACAGCAUAUGGAGGUUCCCUGGCUAGGGGUUGAAUCGGAGCUGUAGCCGCCAGCCCACGCCACAGCCACAGCCACAGCAACUCCUAAUCUGAGCUAUGUCUGUGACCUACACCACAACCCACAGCAAUGCUGGGUCCUUAACCGACUGAAUGAGGCCAGGAAUCAAACCUGCAUCUUCAUGGAUACUACUAGCCAAAUUUCGUUUCCACUGAGCUGUGAUGGGAACUCAUCUUUUUUUUUUUUGGUGGGGGAGGUGGGAAGGGAACAAAAUUUGAUGUGUUGUUAAAGAAAGUAUCAUCCUACUUGUUCAAGAAAAAACACGGCAUUUGUUACAAACAGCAAGGUAGGAUUUCCCGAUGUUGUACAUUGGGUGAGGAUCCAGCAUUUUCUCUGUGUCAGUGUCAGUUCGAUCCCUGGCCUGGUGCACUGUGUGAAUCCCUGGCAUUGCUGCAGCUGUGUGGCAAAGGUCACAACUCUGGCUCAGAUUUGCUCCCUGGCUUAGGGAUUUCCGUAUGCUGUGGGUGCAGCCAAAAGAGGAAAAACAAAACACAAACAUUCUUUAUCAUUGCUAAUCAUUUUCUUUGAAUUCUGGGCACUGACAGUGUGCUGAGUAUUUUAUUUUUUUGUCUUUUUGCCUUUUAUAGGGCCGCUUCCACGGCAUAUGGAGGUUCCCAGGCUAGGGGUCUAAUCAGAGCUGGAGCCACCGGCCUAAGCCACAGCCAUAGCAACACCAGAUCCAAGCUGUGUGUGUGACCUACACCACAGCUCCCGGCAAUCCUUAACCCAUUGAGCGAGGCCAGGGAUCAAACCCACAACUUCAUGGUUCCUAGUUUGAUUCGUUAGCCACUGAACCAUGACGGGAACUCCUGUGCUGAGUACUUUAAACUUUUACACAGCUUCUAAACCACCAGUAUUCACAUUGCUAGCAAUUAUAAGCCAUCAGUGAGUUCUGUCAAAAUUAUCAGGUUUUUUAAGUCUUAGGAAAACAAAUUAUGUACUUUGAACUGAAUCUCAUACAGUGUUAAAGGCAUUACUACUUGUCAUAGUUCUGGUACAAUGUCAUACGUUUCUGUGAUUCACUAUUUAUGUCAUUGCUUCCUUGUUCUCUCUCAGAUCUAAGAGAUUUUUUUUUCUUUUUGGUCUUUUUAGGGCCGCACUUGCAGCAUAUGGAAAUUCCCAGGCUAGGGGUCAAAUCGCGGCUAUAGCUGCCAGCCUAUGCCACAGCCACAGCAAGGUGGGGUCUGAGCCUCAUCUGUGACCUACACCAUAGGUCACAGCAAUGCCAGAUCCCCAACCACUGAGCAAGGCCAAGAAUCGAACCCGAAUCCUUGUGGAUACUAGUUGGAUUUGUUUCCACUGCGCCACAAUGGGAACUCCCGAGAUUAAUGUUAAUAUUUAAAAGCAAUGUUAGAGAUGUAUCCAAACUUCCUUACUUCAUUCUGUUUAUUCUUCAUAUUCUAAGUUCUUGCAUUUAUAGAUAUCAGAACACUGCACAACUAUUAUUGCCACAAGAAUAACAGCACACUAACAAUAAAAACAGGAAAAGCCAAACAAAUAUACUAUUUAGAAGUUUUAGGGGUUCCCCAUUCCCCGUUGUGGCUCAGUGGGUUAAGAAUCCGACUAGUGGAGUUCCCAUCAUGGCUCAGCAGAAACAAAUCUGACUAGCAUCUGUGAGGACAUAGGUUCGAUCCCUGGCCUUGCUCAGUGGCUUAAAGAAUCUGGCGUUGCC
rnacentral:lncRNA from 1 species